rnacentral:misc_RNA from 1 species
GAAAUGCGGUAAGUAGUGUGAAUUGCAGAAUUCAGUGAAUCAUCGAAUCUUUGAACGCACAUUGCGCCCCUUGGUAUUCCAUGGGGCAUGCCUGUUCGAGCGUCAUUUGUACCCUCAAGCUUUGCUUGGUGUUGGGCGUCUUGUCCUCUUCUGGAGGUCUCGCCUCAAAACAAUUGGCAGCCGGCAUAUUGGUAUCGGAGCGCAGCACAAGUCGCACUUUGUUCCAUGAAUGUUGGCUGCCAUCAAGACCAUUUUUUCCCUCUUGAACUCGGAUCAGGUAGGGAUAGCCUCUAAACUUCA